rnacentral:rRNA from 1 species
UACGUAGGGCGCAAGCGUUGUCCGGAAUUAUUGGGCGUAAAGAGCUCGUAGGCGGUUUGUCGCGUCUGCUGUGAAAACCUAAGGCUCAACCUUGGGCUUGCAGUGGGUACGGGCAGACUAGAGUGCGGUAGGGGUGACUGGAAUUCCUGGUGUAGCGGUGGAAUGCGCAGAUAUCAGGAGGAACACCGAUGGCGAAGGCAGGUCACUGGGCCGCAACUGACGCUGAGACACGAAAGCGUGGGUAGCAAACAGG